UUUGUUCUUUUUAUUUUUAAUUUACUGACUUACAGAGGCUGUUUUUGCUAACAGCCGCUCUGCUGCAAAAGCCUGCUGUUUUUACUUUAAAAUGGUUCGCGUUAGCCUAAAAUUAAAAAAAAACAAACCUUUUUUUGUUACAACACGUUAGUUUUAUAGCCCUAAACUGUUUUUGCACACUUACGUGUUAUUAAAACACCUAUGCCUAAAUAAAGGCUAUGGGUCUGCAGGUUUCCUUUUCAUUUUUAUUUGUUAAAUAGUAAAAAAAAGCAAUCUUUUCUCUAAUCCACUAACUCACAAAAACUGCUUAGCUAACAGGCGCUUUGCUUCUUUGUCUUUCUAAUUUACUGGUUUACAAAAUAAGGGAUAUAUAAACCGCAUGUUACUAAAAAACCUAGGAUGCUUCUGCAUACUUUUUAUUACAACACAUACAAAAAAAUUGGUUUUUUAAUUCCUUUGCAAAACUUAAGGUAACUUUAACAUGUGUUAAAAAUGGUGUAUUAGUAAAAGCUUAUGGUUUUAACUUUUAUAAAAACCCUUUGUAAAAGGGCUAUGUGGCAAAAAAAAUGCUAGGGGUCUGUCUCUUUAGAUAAGAAAAAACAGUUGGGGGGGGGAAGGCAGCUGGAUUACAAAUAUGGGGACUAUAAACCGCCUGUUACUAAAAAACCUAGGGUGCUUCUGUAUAAUUUUUUAUUACAACACAUACAAAAAAUUGUUUUUUCGAGUCCUUAUCCUUUUGCAAAACUUAAUGUAACUUUUUAAAGAGUUUGAAAAAGAAGCAGCCUUCUUCUUUCUGAUUCGCUGACUCACAGAGACUGCUUUGCCAUGUGUUGUUCAGCUUCUGCUAAAGGGUCUGGUUGAUUAGAUAAGAGCAGAGCAGGGCUCUGGUGCAGCUUCACAGUUUUUACUAAAAAAUAAGCAGAGCUAGUCUAAAACCUAGGGAAAAAAACUUUUUUUUGUCACUAUACAUUACUUUUAUAAUCCUAAACUGUUUGUGCAUGCUCUUUUUUUAAGAAAACACCUAUACCAAAGGACUGUGCCUUCAUUUUGGCAUGUCUUUUACCUCUCUUUGUUGUUAAAUGGGGAAAAAAACAAUCUUCUUCUCUCUAAUCCAGUGGUUUACAAAAUAAGGGGUUUAUAAACUGUUUGUUACUAAAAACCUAGGGUGCUUCUGCCUCCUCCUUUUUUAUUACAACACAUACAAAAGGGUUGUGUCUUAGGUUUGUCUUUUCCAGUCAUUUUCCCUUUGCAAAACUUAAUGUAACUGUAACUUCUGUUUGUUAAAAAGCACGAAAAAGAAGCAGCCUUCUUAUCUCUGAUUCACUAACUCACAGAGGCUGCUUUGCUAACAGGCGCUUUGCUUCUUUGUCUUCCUAAUUUAAUGGUUUACAAAAUAAGAAAUAUAUAAACCGCCUGUUACUAAAAAAACCUAGGGUGCUUCUGCAUACUUUUUAUUACAACACAUACAAAGGGGGUGUUUUUUUUUAUUCCUUUGCAAAACUUAAGGUAAUUUUAACAUGUGUUAAAAAUGGUGUAUUAGUAAAAGCUUAUGGUUUUAACUUUUAUAAAAACUCUUUGUAAAAGGGCUACGUGGCGGGAAAAUGCUAGGGGUCUGUUUCUUUAGAUAAGAAAAAAACAGUUAAAAGGGCGGGGGGAGAGAGGACGGGAGGGGGGAAAGGAAGGGGCUGGCUCUUGCUUAAACUCUUAAAACACUAGGAUUGGUUGGUUCAGGAAAAUGAAUUCUAUGACGCUGUUGUAAAACCACCUCUGAUUGGGCCGAUCCAAAAGCGGUGAUAACAAGCUGGAGAGUGUCAGAAGCAGGAAAUCUCCCUCAUUCUACAGAAAGACGGGCAAAGGGUUAAACCAGAAAAGCUGCCUCGUUUUACAAAAAGACUGCAAAGGUAAACAUUUUUUAAUUUUACCCUGAGCUUUAUUGUAUUUUUCUUAGCCACAUUUUUAUAGAGUUUUUACCCUGUGCUUACCGAACAGGCUUUCUCUUUGUCAAUUUUCCUUUUAAACCUCGUUUUUUCUUAACCUA